rnacentral:lncRNA from 1 species
GGGAAGACUGUAAAGACACGGGAAACCUGAAUACACAGGUGUCUGUCUACAUGCAGGCAUAUGCUCAUUGCGUGUUGGUAUCCUCAGAAGACAGAGACAUUCAAUCACCUGGACGAGGCUGGAGUUACAGACAGUUGUGACAUGGGAAUCACCCUGGUCCUCUGGAAGAUGGAGCACAUGAUCCAGAAGAACCAGUGUCUCUUCACUAGCACCCAGUGUAAAGUUUGCUGCGCCAUGCUGAUUUCUGAGUCUCAGAAGCUGGCACAUUACCAGAGCAAAAAACAUGCCAACAAAGUAAAGAGAUACCUAGCAAUCCAUGGAAUGGAGACACUGAAGGGGGACGUGAAGAGGCUGGACUCCGAUCAGAAGAGCAGCAGAAGCAAAGACAAGAACCACUGCUGCCCCGUCUGUAACAUGACCUUUUCCUCCCCUGUUGUGGCCCAGUCGCACUACCUGGGGAAGACCCACGCAAGGAACUUAAAGCUGAAGCAGCAGCCCGCUAAGGGGGCAGCCCUGCAGCAACAUAGAGAGACGCUAGACCCAGACAAAUUCUGCAGCCUCUGCCACUCUGCCUUCAACGACCCCGCCAUGGCCCAGCAGCACUACACUGGCAAGAGGCACCGGAAGCAGGAGACCAAGCUCAAGCUCAUGGCACACUACGGGCGGCUGGCGGGCCCCACUGCCUCGGACUCACCAGCUGGGAAGGGCUAUCCCUGCAAGACGUGUAAAAUAGUGCUGAACUCCAUAGAACAGUACCAAGCUCACGUCAGUGGCUUCAAACACAAAAACCAGUCACCCAAGACAUUGGUGACACUUGGGAGCCAGAUGCCAGUGCAAACACAACCCACUCCAAAGGACUCAAGCACAGUGGAAGACUAGCACUGUCUCUGCCUGAUCACCCUCGGUGCGACAGCCACAAGCCAGUUCCUGGUGACUGUGGUCAGCCCACAGCUCCUUCUUCCUCUCAUAUCAGAAGAAUGUGGAGGCAUGAGGCCAGCGUG